rnacentral:rRNA from 1 species
AGAGUUGAUAUGGCUCAGGAUGAACGCUAGCUACAGGCUUAACACAUGCAAGUCGAGGGUAGCAGGGUAGCAAUACCGCUGACGACCGGCGCACGGGUGAGUAACACGUAUCCAACCUUCCCAUAACUCAGGGAUAGCCUUUCGAAAGAAAGAUUAAUACCUGAUAGUACUUUUUCAAGGCAUCUUGAGAAAGUUAAAGAUUUAUUGGUUAUGGAUGGGGAUGCGUUCCAUUAGAUAGUUGGUGAGGUAACGGCUCACCAAGUCUUCGAUGGAUAGGGGUUCUGAGAGGAAGGUCCCCCACAUUGGUACUGAGACACGGACCAAACUCCUACGGGAGGCAGCAGUGAGGAAUAUUGGUCAAUGGGCGAGAGCCUGAACCAGCCAAGUAGCGUGAAGGAUGAAGGUCCUAUGGAUUGUAAACUUCUUUUAUAGUAGAACAAAGUGAUCCACGUGUGGAUUUUUGUAUGUAUACUAUGAAUAAGGAUCGGCUAACUCCGUGCCAGCAGCCGC